AAAGGGAAAGCCUGGAGGUCAGGAAGCAGGCUCCUGAGGUCAGGGGUGAUGCGAAAGAAUAGGAGGUUCAGAGAGCCUAACACGGUGCCUGGCAAGUAGUAGAUGCUUAGAAUAAGCUCAUCUCCUCUGAACUCGUUUGGGGUCCUUUGGGGGCUCUGAAAGAAGAUGGGUGCUGCAAGAGGCCAGGAACCCUUGAGGGCUUCUGGGGAAGGUACUCAUCUACCACCGUUUUGACAGCUCUCUGGAUGUAACUCUUCAUCAAACAUCCCACAAGCCAUUCCACAUAGUCACCAACAUCCCAGAGACAGACCUGGACCGACUACAGAGUCUUUGUAGCCUUGUCUGGCCUGCAUAUGAGGCUACGCUUGAACUCACACGGAGACGCCGCCUGCUUCUGGCUCCUGUGCUGGGAUCAGAGUGCCCAUACAUACCAGAAGAGGGCGUCAGAUCAUCUGGGAUUGCACUUAUAGGUGAAUGUAGGCCACUAUCUGGAACAGCCAGUGCUCAUAAUCGUUGAGCCUUCUCUCCAACCCCCAAAACUGGAAUUCUUCUCUGCAGGCUUCUGCAAAGAGAGUCCCAGCCUUGCCAGGAGGCGGAAGUGACUGAGCUGCUAGAUCCUUCAAAGUGGAGACAUCCAGAAGACAGACAACUUGGCCAGCGGGAAAUGAAGGUGAAGAGAAACUGAGGAGAUUGGAAUCUAGUGCUGAAUUUGCAUUCGAUGCCGAGCCUAGGAGAUAGAAACUCAUAUUUGCCCAGUUGGAGCUCGGGUUCCAUAUGAAGCUGAAGCUGCUCUUGAACUGAUCCUCCGGCCUUCCCUUCCUGUCAUGAUGAGCCCUUCAUUCAGGGCUUAUACCCCUGCCCCUCAUCUGGACCUCCCCGAUCUUGCCCAGUGCCCAGCUCCUGGGCCAUCCACCCAGAAACAUUCACUGAAGCCCUCCUGUGAACCUGGCCAGCACCUGAGACAGUCAUGCAAGGAACACAGAGACUGGAAGUUAUGAUCUGAGUCCUCAGGAAUCUCAUGCCAGCCAGAUGUACAGACAGGAGGAACGACACAUAUGGGAGUCAGUACUCUGGUGGGUGGCACUGAUGUGACAGGUGAUGGGGAACAGAAGACACAGGUUGCUACUGUUCUUUGUGAAGCAGUCAGCGCUCGCUCGGCACUGGUUGAUUUCAUUGGAGGUGAGGGGGCAGUGAGAUAGAAGGAAAAUGGCCUGGGAGAAGAAGCCUUGAGUUCUAGUCCCAGGUUCACAAUUCUAGUUGUGUAACUUGGUAAUUCCUUAAGUCACACAAGCUUCACUUUUCUCAUUUACCCCUUCCUUGUAAAUUCGUGGUGGUAACCAUUGAGAUAAUAUAGGCAAUGCUUUAAAGAA
rnacentral:lncRNA from 1 species